GUAUACGUGGUCAUGUGCAAGCUGAUGAUAUGUAAGUGUGGGGAUGCCUGUACUCUCAUUUUAAAAUGCACAAUUUGUGUUCAUGUAGGCUGUGUAUUUUUCCUUUUUUCUCUGCUGUGCCUGUCUUUAGAAUCCUGUGCUGCGUAUAAAAUUGUGUAUAUAACCCCCAAAACUGCACCAAUUUCAAGAGGACUUAAAAAAUAACAAUUGGCAAACUGAUAAGAAAAUGUGAGGAACUAAGAUAAAGAUUGGAAAAAUGAGAAAGUGGGAGAAACCAGAAUUAACUGAUUUGCCAAUCUCUGUCCAAGGGGAAGGCCUGAGCUCAACAGCCCAGCAUCAGUUUCCCACGCAGAAGGUCCCAGGUUCAGUUCUUGGCAUCUCCAGGUGAGACUGUGAAUGUCCCCCAUCUGAACCCCUGGAGAGCUGCUGCCUGUCAGUGGGACAAUGCUGAGCUAGAGGGAUUGAUUGUCAGACUUAAAUAUAAGGCAGCUCCCUAUGUUUCCAAAGCAGCACCUUGUCAGCCUGCCAGCACUCUCUGACUUAUCCAGAUCCAAGGCUUUGCAGCUGGCGCAUAUUUUAAUGCCAAAUGACUGGCACCAUUGAUGUUGGAACACAUAGUCUCUUGGUGCCCACACUGCUUGCACAUUCAUUUCAGUAUGUCACACUGUGUAACUACUUUUUGCUGUUGUUGCAACUUAAGUUUAUAUCUCCCCAGAGGUAUUUACCCCACUCCCAGAAUUCACACAGAGGAGAAUGUGGGUCCCCUUUGCCAAGCAGCCGUCCGCCUGAUAAAAUUAAGAAGAAAAACAACAGAAAGAGAAGCAGGGAGACCUCCUGUUAAUUUACUGCCCUGAAACAGUCAAUUAGAGACUUGCCAAACUGUCUGGCAUUCGUUCCAAGUCCUUUGAAAUGCCAACCCCCAAAUGAAAGAUGGAGGAGAGGAUAUUGCCUGGCUCUUUCCAAGAAUUGGCCCAAACAGCAACCACAAUGUGUCAACUUGCGAGCUGGGGCUAGUUUUGCUGAUAGCAGAAAUAAACGCCUGUUGUUUGUCAGAAAUUGGGUUCAAUUUUCCCAACAAUAGUGUUGCUUCCCAUGCUACACUAGUCUCACAUGCUACUUCCA